UUUAGAGAGUUUGAUCCUGGCUCAGGGUGAACGCUGGCGGCGCGCUUAAUGCAUGCAAGUCGAACGUGCCUUCGGGCAAGUGGCAGACGGCUGAGUAACGCGUGAGUAACACACCCUUCGGUGGGGUAUAGCCUCGGGAAACUGAGGGUAAUCCCGCAUACGAUCCCUAUGCUCUGGUGUAGGGAUGAAAGCCUUCGGGCGCCGGAGGAGUGGCUCGCGUCCUAUCAGGUAGUUGGUGAGGUAACGGCUCACCAAGCCGAUGACGGGUAGCUGGUCUGAGAGGACGACCAGCCAGAGGGGGACUGAGACACGGCCCCCACUCCUACGGGAGGCAGCAGCAGGGAAUUUUGGGCAAUGGGCGAAAGCCUGACCCAGCGACGUCGCGUGGGGGAUGAAGGCCUUAGGGCUGUAAACCCCUUUUCCAAGGGAAGAGGAAGGACGGUACCUUGGGAAUAAGCUCCGGCUAACUACGUGCCAGCAGCCGCGGUAAUACGUAGGGAGCGAGCGUU
rnacentral:rRNA from 1 species